AGCGAACGCUGGCGGCAGGCUUAACACAUGCAAGUCGAGCGGGCGUAGCAAUACGUCAGCGGCAGACGGGUGAGUAACGCGUGGGAACGUACCUUUUGGUUCGGAACAACACAGGGAAACUUGUGCUAAUACCGGAUAAGCCCUUACGGGGAAAGAUUUAUCGCCAAAAGAUCGGCCCGCGUCUGAUUAGCUAGUUGGUGAGGUAACGGCUCACCAAGGCGACGAUCAGUAGCUGGUCNGAGAGGAUGAUCAGCCACAUUGGGACUGAGACACGGCCCAAACUCCUACGGGAGGCAGCAGUGGGGAAUAUUGGACAAUGGGCGCAAGCCUGAUCCAGCCAUGCCGCGUGAGUGAAG
rnacentral:rRNA from 1 species